GUACACUCCUGCGGGAGGCAGCAGUGGGGAAUAUUGCACAAUGGGCGGAAGCCUGAUGCAGCAACGCCGCGUGCGGGAUGACGGCCUUCGGGUUGUAAACCGCUUUCGCCUGUGACGAAGCGUGAGUGACGGUAAUGGGUAAAGAAGCACCGGCUAACUACGUGCCAGCAGCCGCGGUGAUACGUAGGGUGCGAGCGUUGUCCGGAUUUAUUGGGCGUAAAGGGCUCGUAGGUGGUUGAUCGCGUCGGAAGUGUAAUCUUGGGGCUUAACCCUGAGCGUGCUUUCGAUACGGGUUGACUUGAGGAAGGUAGGGGAGAAUGGAAUUCCUGGUGGAGCGGUGGAAUGCGCAGAUAUCAGGAGGAACACCAGUGGCGAAGGCGGUUCUCUGGGCCUUUCCUGACGCUGAGGAGCGAAAGCGUGGGGAGCGAACAGGCUUAGAAACCCGGGUAGUCCCAUG
rnacentral:rRNA from 1 species